AACGAACGCUGGCGGCAUGCCUAACACAUGCAAGUCGAACGAGACCUUCGGGUCUAGUGGCGCACGGGUGCGUAACGCGUGGGAAUCUGCCCUUGGGUUCGGAAUAACUCGCCGAAAGGCGUGCUAAUACCGGAUGAUGUCGUAAGACCAAAGAUUUAUCGCCCAGGGAUGGGCCCGCGUAAGAUUAGGUAGUUGGUGAGGUGACGGCCCACCAAGCCGACGAUGGGUAGCCGACCUGAGAGGGUGAUCGGCCACAUUGGAACUGAGAAACGGUCCAG
rnacentral:rRNA from 1 species